rnacentral:misc_RNA from 1 species
CGUGUGUAAUCACGUGCUCGAUCCAAUAGUUAUCGUUUCAGUAUCUCCGGAUACGAAGAAAUUCGCCAAGGGAAGUCCGUAAACGGUAGUAAACCGGCAGAGUUUUCGCUCUGUGUAGAAACCGUCGAGUGCAUUUGGAUGGUAACUGAUCUUUCUACAUUGCAAGUCACAACAUUAGUAGAGACGACUGACGUUUCCAAACCAGCAGCGACCUGGUCCUGAAUUGUUGAUCACCUUCGUCGGUCACUGGAAGUAAUAAGUAAAUACUCGCGGUGGUGUUCGUACACAAGACGAAGGUAGUGCCGAUCUACCACCGUUUACGGACUUUACGCGGCAAAUUCCUCGCAUCCAGGAAUUUGAGAUGUUAUUCCGAGCAUGAAAUUACACAACCUUCUGUAUGCGUGAAAAUCGCAAUCAGAACUGUACGGAGCGAAUACGCAUGAGCGAUUGACAAACAACAG